CCCCAGGUGAUGCCAGUGAGGGGCCUG
rnacentral:piRNA from 1 species